AAAACCACUGGGUACUCGGCGCAUCUGGUCCGAGGUGGGGAGUGCGACCGCAGCAGCUCGAGUUGCGACGUGAGCAGCCGCACGGGCACCCGUGUGCGCACGCGCGAGACUGGGCUCCACGCAGUCUAGCACAUGAUUCCUACAGGGGCCGCCCCGCACGCACGCCACGCACGGUGACCUUCCCUGCCACUCAGCUGUGCUCUAUCUCUAAUUCUGUCACUCUGCAAAUAAUGGGGCCUUUCCACAUCUAAUCUUCUGAGAUAGCGCCUUUCCUCCAGUAUAGCUCCCUUGAAAGCCAUCCAGGAAUGAAGGCAGCCGGACAGCACAAGCAAAGACAUUCUCAAAAGAGCACGUCCAGAACUUCUUCAGAAAUCAAUAAGAAUGCUGGGUACUCAAGAUCGAACUCAGGACCUCGUGUUUGCAAGGCAGUGCUCUUGAGCGCCUCUUGCACCCCGAGACUGACUUCACCAGUCACGUGACUGUGCCGUCUUUUAACCCUGUCGACCUUUUAGAUUCUCUCGAAGAUGCAGACUUUUGGAAACACGUUUGAAGGAGAGCCUCUGCUUUCCCUCUCCCAGGUCCUAGCUCCCCUAACGCUCAGUGAUGCGGACACAGCCUGGGGUGGGCGGGACCCGAUCCAGUCCGAUCUGCUCGGAUCUGCUCCGGACAGCACCGAUCUGCUCUGGACAGCACCGCUGUCCUCCACCAGGGACGCCGCUCCCCGCCCGGAUUUCCUCGGCUUUCCCUGAGCCCCGGGGCAACUGUAACGCUCAACACCCUCAACACCAACGCGUUCGGCCUUGGGCUUUGGAUAGUACCCUGCGCGCUCAUACAGGGCCCGAGCGCCCCCACUCACCCUGUGCCUCUUCUCCAUCUUGUCCUCCCCCGUCUACCGGCACCGGGAACCCCUCGCCUCUGGCUCCUCUUCCGGGCGCAGCUUCCUGCAAAGCGGCAAUCGGCCUGUGAUUCAGUCACUUCGCGUGUGCGUGGAUGUGGGACUGGAGACUGAAGCCUGGGCCUUCGUGUCAGGCCACAGCCCCAAUCAUACUUUUAUUGUUUCAUUUUGAGACAGGGUCACUAAGUUGCCCAGGCUGUGCUUGAACCUGGGAUCCUCUUGCCUCAGCGUCCCCGAGCGCGUACUUGUGGAGGGUGAAAUCCCAUCCGGUUCUAGUGGCUUCUUAGAUUAAGUUGGUUCUGGGGCCCUCAGUAAAACUCUCUCCACUGUUCUCUAGCUCGGGGAAGGACUUCAGUCAGGCUGAGGGUGGGGAGAAAAGGGAAAGACAAGCUGAAUUUGCUUAAAGCAGUGUCCAUGCAGCAUUAUCCCUGCUCUGUCACCAACCAGGACCAGCUGUCUAUCUGCCACCAUAAAAAUCUGUGAUUUAAAAUAAAUUUUGUGGGCCGGGGAUUUAGCUUGGUGGUUUUGCCGCCUGCUGCACAAGCUCAAGCACCCGAGUUCGAACCCCGGUACCAAAAAAAAAAAAAAAUUUUGUUUUGAAGCAAAACAUGUAUUGCUGUAUUUUAGAUAUACAUCAUAACAUUCAUCACAUAAAAUCUGUGAUUUGAUGUGUCCUAUUUUGCCAAAAAAAAAAAAAAGUGGGAAGCAGCAACUCUUCCUGUGCCUUCCACGAACCCCUGACCGGUCCCCGCCCCCCUCCCCAUCCUGAUUCGUGUCCUGAGUCCCUGGGGAGGCUGAGCCAGGAGACGUGGCCUCUGAGUGCCACCUCCCCAGCCCAGCCUCUUUUCUUUGUCAGCUGUGCUUGUCUUUUAAUGUGUUCUCAUUUGAGAAAAACAAAAACAACCGUGGCCUGGGUGGUGCAGGCCUGUAAUCCCAGCGCUCUGGGAGGCUGAGGCAGGAGGAUUCUGAGCUUCAUCCCAGUCUGGGCAAUUGAGCAACUUGGUAAGACCCUCCUAUCUCAGAACAAUAAAAAACGGGCUGGGGAGGUAGGUCAGGGCUAAGGCUCUAGGUUCAAUCCCUAGUACCUAAAAAUAAAAACCAAACCACCAAAGCCCAAUUGCUAAUCUAAUUCUAAUAAAUAUACUUCCUUUAAAA